rnacentral:rRNA from 1 species
GGUUGACCUCGGAUCAAGGUAGGAAUACCCG